rnacentral:tRNA from 1 species
UCCCUGGCGGUCCAGUGGCUAAGACUCCUCGCUCCCAACGCUGGGGGUCCAGGUUCAAUCCCUGGUCGGGGAA